rnacentral:rRNA from 1 species
UACAGAGGUCUCAAGCGUUGUUCGGAUUCAUUGGGCGUAAAGCGCACGUAGGCGGCUUGGCAAGUCGGAUGUGAAAUCCCUCGGCUCAACCAAGGAAGUGCAUCCGAAACUGCUGAGCUUGAGUACGAAAGAGGAUCGCGGAAUUCCCGGUGUAGAGGUGAAAUUCGUAGAUAUCGGGAGGAACACCAGUGGCGAAGGCGGCGAUCUGGGUCGAUACUGACGCUGAGGUGCGAAAGCGUGGGGAGCAAACAGG